UACGUAGGGGGCUAGCGUUGUCCGGAUUUAUUGGGCGUAAAGAGCGCGUAGGCGGCCAGGUAAGUCCGACGUGAAAUCUGGAGGCUCAACCUCCAGCGGUCGUUGGAAACUACCUGGCUAGAGUCCGGAAGAGGAGAGUGGAAUUCCUGGUGUAGCGGUGAAAUGCGCAGAUAUCAGGAAGAACACCGAUGGCGAAAGCAGCUCUCUGGGACGGUACUGACGCUGAGGCGCGAAAGCGUGGGGAGCGAACAGG
rnacentral:rRNA from 1 species